rnacentral:rRNA from 1 species
GGAAUCUUCCACAAUGGGCGAAAGCCUGAUGGAGCAACGCCGCGUGUGUGAUGAAGGGUUUCGGCUCGUAAAACACUGUUGUUAAAGAAGAACGUGGGUAAGAGUAACUGUUUACCCAGUGACGGUAUUUAACCAGAAAGCCACGGCUAACUACGUGCCAG